rnacentral:rRNA from 1 species
UCAAAAACAUGUCUUUUUGAGAAUUAUUUAAAGUCUAAUCUGCCCACUGAUAUAAUUAUUGAAGGGCUGCAGUAUAUUGACUGUACAAAGGUAGCAUAAUCAUUAGUCUUUUAAUUGAAGACUUGUAUGAAAGAUUUGAUGAAAUAUAAACUGUCUCUAAAUUAUUAAUAAAAUUUAAUUUUUUAGUUAAAAAGCUAAAAUAAUAUUAAAAGACGAGAAGACCCUAUAAAGUUUUAUAAUUUAUUUAAUUAAUAAUAAAUAUAUAAUUAAAUAUAAUAAUUGAAUAAAUUAUUUUAUUGGGGUGAUAGAAAAAUUUAAUAAACUUUUUUUUUUUAGUUUAACAUAAAUAAGUGAUAUAAUGAUCCAUUAAUAAUGAUUAAAAGAAAAAAUUACUUUAGGGAUAACAGCGUAAUAUUUUUUUUUAGUACAAAUAAAAAAAAAAGUUUGCGACCUCGAUGUUGGAUUAAGAUAAAAAUUAAAUGCAAAAGUUUAAAUUUUUGAUCUGUUCGAUCAUUAAAAUCUUACAUGAUCUGAGCU